rnacentral:lncRNA from 1 species
AAUUUAAUAUGCAUUCAUUUUGUCCAGGCAAUCAAGACAAAUGACACUAUUUCAUAAUUCACAUUUGGGCCUCAUCAUAAAACUUUAACUUCAUUCAAUAAAAUUAACGACCAAAUACAUAUGUUUCUAGAAACGCCCAUAUAUAAGGAUGUUGUGCAACAAAAGGAAAAUUACAUAUGUUUUUGGAUGCGACACACGACCAGAAUGAGCAUAUAGUGGCUUCUAUGCUAAACUCGCAACCAAAAUUAGCUUUCCCCAUGGUUGUAAUGUUCCCAACAACACGAGGCCCUAAUCAUUCAAAAUGCUUAUAGUUUAUUGCUUUAACUUCCGCUAGCCUCUCGCUCUUGUGCUUCAGCAUUGUCUCCUCUUCCUUUUUCCAUUCUAUUUCCUGAAAAGAGAAAUUUUUGGCACAUUAGAAUUUACACGUCAGAUGUAAGUAGAUUGUCGUUUGUUUUCCUUCUCAUCGUUGCCUUUUGUUUUCCUUCUGACACAUCAUCUAGAUGUUCCAAGUAAAACAUGGUCAGGUUCAUAGUUUUACAUGUUGAAGGGGGCAAACAAAUACGAAGUCAUGACAGCAUGGCAAAACUUGGAACCCAAAUUUGGCCAUAUUCAAUUUUAUUUUUAAAAAAUGCUUCACAAGCAUGAAUGGUAGAUGUGCACGUGUGUACAGAAUGUCACCCCCAUUUGUCAAACCAUCUUUUUGGACUCAGACUAGAACAAAAAUAAAAAAAUAAGUAAAUAAGUUCAGGUUGGAUAUAUCACUUACCAAGUGUACUCUCUGCCUCCAUUCAAACUUCUCCUCCUAGCAUGUUGUAGCCUUUGCUCAGCUGAUAAUUACUUGCCCUGACAUAAUACAUGGAACAUAUAAGAAUCCAUGCUUCAUGUUAUUCUUAAGAAACAUUAACUUAUUGAGUAAAAACUAGAUUGAAGACCCCAACCUUAUAAAAGCAGCAUGUAAUAACAAUUAAAUUCUAGAAGAGUACUCCACUUUCAGUCUGUCUUAGCAGCAAAAUGAAAGGAGACAUAAAUAUUUUCUCUAGCUAGUUAUUUUUCUUCCAUGUAACAGUAUAUGUGCAUGAUGACAGUUGAACUAGAUGAUCUCACAUCGAUCGACCAAUGGGAAUAAACAGCACAAUACAAAAAUCGUUUUACCCAAAGCUUGCUUGUAAAACUCCUACAGUGUUUUACUGAUUUAGUAUUCAGUUGUAGCAUCCACUUGUUUAGCACCAAAAGAUUAUUGAACCCCCUAUACUGAUAAGACUUAAUAAAACAUGUGUGCAGUCAUUUAGAAGUAUCCACUGCGGCACUGCCUUAGUGCAUAGAUCAUUUAGAAGUUUUCACUGGCAGAGAGCAUAUCUACAGUCCUUUAUGUACAAUAUAAAUUGAAACUGCAAACAUUCCCUGGUGCUUCCUAUCAAGAUGUCUGAAGAUGAAAACGAUAAAAUGUUCUGAAGAACUGUUCUUACUCGAUUAAAUGGAGAAAUAUUUGAGUAGUGACUACCCUGAGUUCAAGCAUUACAAAAUACUAGAUGUUUCCUUUCGCACAAACAACACAUGUCCAAGCAUAAUGUGUAUAUAAGUAUGAAAGAUAGAUCACAGUAGCUGAUAGCACAGGCAAGCAACAUAGAUGGGUAUAUCAUAUUCAGGCAAGCAACAUGUCCAAGCUUAAUUUUUGGUACCGAUGUGAACUUGUUCUUUAUAUAAUAUAUGGGAAUAUCACAUUCAGACAACAACUUUCACAGAACAUAAAUAAUAAACUUCAUAUCAGAGAACUAACACUUUUGCAAGUUCAAAUCUUUAAAUUCUAGAAGCAAUACUCCACUUUCAGUCUAUAUUUGUAGCAAACAGAGAAGAGACAGAAAGAGAUUCUCUAUCUGAUUGCUCUUCUUACAUGUACAAGUAUAUGUGCGUGAUGACGAGUGAACUAAAUGAUCUCACAUCAAUCGAUCAAUGGAGAUAAACAAGGGUACUUGUUCAUUCCAACUACAUGUUCAUUAGUCAAAGUUCGUUUUCUUUUAACAUCCAGAAUUAGCACAAAGAGCACUUAAUCAUAGUAAAUGGAAGAAUACCCAUUGGCACCAAGAAUUAGAGUUGUGAAGAGCAUCUUCAUUGGUACAUUCAAGCACAAGUUUGAGAGAAAAAAAUGUUACCUCAGUAUUGAACUCCUAUGAAAUAAUUAGCUAGAUGGUAAAUCAGGGCAGGAAAAGUAGCUACUUUUGUAGAGAAAUUUUUAAUAUCAAAUCCACACUCAUGUCUAUAAAUUUAGCUCUUUCAGAUGGAGGCACCAAAAACUUUAUAGAGCGCUACAUUUCCCUACUACUAUAGUACACAGUUUUUUUGAAUUUGGAUUAGCAGUCCGCCCAGACUCCAGAGCAAAUACAAGUCAUUGAUUUGUUCCAUAAAAUGAAUAUCCACCGUUCAUCAGUACCUUGCGCAAGAGAUCUAAUGGUUGACAUUUCUUAGAUUCGCUAUGUACGGGCAGGCGCCAAAACGACUCCGGGACCUUUCUGGAAUCCUGACGGCUCCAAAUGGGCCCACUGGUGAAACUCUGCUAUUCAAGAUCUUUUGUGGCUAUGAUCGGGAAACAACGAUGACUAGAGUAACCUUCCUUCUACUCCGUGAACAACUAGCUUGUACACAGCACUAAUCGUUUGUAUCUACCAAGUUUCGAAGCAGCAACUUGCCAAUCCUUUGGACGGGAUUUAACACUCAACAGCAUACAUACUACUCCCGUCUCAAAAUAAAUGUUGCUCAAGUAAACGGAUGAGUGAGUGAAGAACACGUGCAUAGCUCGUGCCUUCGACUAGUAUACACAGUCUUCAGUUGCGCAAUGUCUGAACCUGAAUAAAUAAAGACUGAUCCAUGUACUAAAAAGGAUGGAUACAAGCAAAUGAAAUAGGCACAUAUACUUGCAUAUUAAGAUAACAAAAUGAAAUAUACACUAAUCUGGCUGAAACCCUUUACAAAUCACGAGCACCAGGAAUUCCUCGAACAAACCAAUCACUGCUAGAACCAGUCUCCAAUCCUUUCACUAAUAGCACAUGCAUCAAUUUGGUAGGAAAAGGAGAAAAACAAUAAGGAACACGCUUAGUAGUAACUCGGUGGAAGGGGAAAUCUGCCUUCGUACGGACAACUGGACAAUGCGCAUCAUGAGUUCUCCUCGAGCAGAAAAGAAAAGAUUAACAACCUUGGUAAGGAAGAUCUCACCUGCAUCAGGUUUCCACCAAGACGGAUCUGAGGAAAGUAUUGUACCAGCAUAGUAGAGAUGGGACACCACGCUCGCCGUUGGCGGGGAGGAAGCCGUGGUGGGCAGUCCGCCUAUGCUCGUCGGCGUGAUGGACCGUAAAGAAGAGAUGGAGGCGACCAGAAUCGUCGACCAGUUCUGGUGGUGGUGUCGAAGGGAGGGAGGCGACGACGACCUUGCACAUCAGAGGCGUAUCGAGGGAGGCGACGCCGAGAUCCAAGCACCGCCGCCAUAGAUCCCGAUGGGGUCGCACAGGUCAAUGAAAGUGGUGGUGGUGGAGGGCAUGGUCAACGGCAGAGGGGGCGGCGGCGGCGGUCGAGGAAGAGGUCGUCGAUUUGGGGGAGGGUUCGAUUCGGGGGAGAAUAGGUCGUGUGGUGGCUGUAAUUCUUCUUCUUCUUUUUUGAGCGGUGGCUGUAAUUCUUUUGAGUGGAAAUGUCGCGCGCUCUCCCGCGCCAACGCGCGUUUGGGCCAAAUAUUAUUUUGGGCUCGCGUCACAGGCAGGCUCGGC